rnacentral:rRNA from 1 species
CCUAGUGAUAGCUGGUUGCUUGAGAAAAGGAUUUAAGUCCAACCUAAAAUUACCUUAAUCCAAUUAAAUACCACAUAUAAUUUUAGAGCCAAUUCAAGCAAGGUACAGCCUGCUUGAAAUAGGAUACAACCUACACCUGAGGGUAACUUAUAUACAUUAAGCGAUAAAGUAGGCCUAAAAGCAGCCAUCUUUUAAAAAGCGUCACAGCUUCUUCGCUAGGAUAAUUUAAUACCAAUAAUUUUUAUGAGCCCCACUUUCGUAUCAAGCAAUUCUAUAUAGUUAUAGAAAUUUUUAUGUUAAAACUAGUAACAAGAAGAAAACCUUCUCCUAAUGCAAGCGUAAAUCAGGAAGGAUAUACCACUGAUAAUUAACAUCCCUGAACCUACAGUAGCAACCACACAAGAAAACUCUACCACAUUCUAUGUUAACCUAACACAAGAGCAUUACAGGAAAGAUUAAAAGAGAAAGAAGGAACUCGGCAAACUUUAACCCCGCCUGUUUACCAAAAACAUCGCCUCUUGACCAAUUAUAAGAGGUCCAGCCUGCCCAGUGACUCUGUUCAACGGCCGCGGUAUCCUAACCGUGCGAAGGUAGCGUAAUCACUUGUUCUUUAAAUGAGGACUAGUAUGAAUGGCACCACGAAGGUUAUACUGUCUCCUUUCUUUAAUCAGUGAAACUAAUCUCCCCGUGAAGAAGCGGGGAUAAAUAUAUAAGACGAGAAGACCCUAUGGAGCUUUAAACAAGUAACAACUGCCUUAUUAAUCUCUUAAUCUCAGGAAAUUUACCCCUUAUUCAGGCAUUUUGAUUACAAGUUUUAGGUUGGGGUGACCGCGGAGCAUAAAAUAACCUCCACAGUGAACGGGACUCAUUCCCUAAACCAAGGGCUACAACCCUAAGCAUCAAUAAAUUGACACCUAUUGACCCAAUAUUUUGAUCAAUGAACCAAGUUACCCUAGGGAUAACAGCGCAAUCCACUUCAAGAGCCCCUAUCGACAAGUGGGUUUACGACCUCGAUGUUGGAUCAGGGUAUCCCAGUGGUGCAGCCGCUACUAAAGGUUCGUUUGUUCAACGAUUAAAACCCUACGUGAUCUGAGUUCAGACC